rnacentral:rRNA from 1 species
UACAGGGGGGGCAAGCGUUGUUCGGAAUUACUGGGCGUAAAGGGUGCGUAGGUGGCGAGGUAAGUUUGAUGUGAAAUCUCCGAGCUCAACUCGGAAAUGGCAUUGAAUACUAUCCCGCUUGAGGGUCGGAGGGGAGACUGGAAUUCUCGGUGUAGCAGUGAAAUGCGUAGAGAUCAUGAGGAAGACCAGUGGCGAAGGCGGGUCUCUGGACAGUUCCUGACACUGAGACACGAAGGCCAGGGGAGCAAACGGG